rnacentral:rRNA from 1 species
CCUGAUGCAGCAACGCCGCGUGAGGUAUGAAGGCCUUUGGGUUGUAAGCCUCUGUCCUAGGGGAAGAAAAAAAUGACGGUACCCGAGGAGGAAGCCCCGGCUAACUACGUGCCAGCAGCCGCGGUAAUACGUAGGGGGCAAGCGUUAUCCGGAAUUAUUGGGCGUAAAGAGUGCGUAGGUGGUCUACUAAGCGCGAGGUGAAAGGCAAUGGCUCAACCAUUGUUAGCCUUGCGAACUGGCAGACUUGAGUGCAAGAGAGGAAAGCGGAAUUCCUAGUGUAGCGGUGAAAUGCGCAGAUAUUAGGAGGAACACCGGCGGCGAAGGCGGCUUUCUGGAUUGUAACUGACACUGAGGCACGAAAGCGUGGGUAGCAAACAGGAUUAGAUACCCUGGUAGUCCACGCCGUAAACGAUGAGCACUAGGUGUCGGGACAUGAGUCU